rnacentral:rRNA from 1 species
AGAGUUUGAUCCUGGCUCAGGACGAACGCUGGCGGCGUGCUUAACACAUGUAAGUCGAACGGAAAGGCCCUUCGGGGUACUCGAGUGGCGAACGGGUGAGUAACACGUGGGUGAUCUGCCCUGCACUUUGGGAUAAGCCUGGGAAACUGGGUCUAAUACCGAAUAUGACCAUGCACUUCCUGGUGUGUGGUGGAAAGCUUUUGCGGUGUGGGAUGGGCCCGCGGCCUAUCAGCUUGUUGGUGGGGUAAUGGCCUACCAAGGCGACGACGGGUAGCCGGCCUGAGAGGGUGACCGGCCACACUGGGACUGAGAUACGGCCCAGACUCCUACGGGAGGCAGCAGUGGGGAAUAUUGCACAAUGGGCGCAAGCCUGAUGCAGCGACGCCGCGUGAGGGAUGACGGCCUUCGGGUUGUAAACCUCUUUCAGCACAGACGAAGCGCAAGUGACGGUAUGUGCAGAAGAAGGACCGGCCAACUACGUGCCAGCAGCCGCGGUAAUACGUAGGGUCCGAGCGUUGUCCGGAAUUACUGGGCGUAAAGAGCUCGUAGGUGGUUUGUCGCGUUGUUCGUGAAAACUCACAGCUUAACUGUGGGCGUGCGGGCGAUACGGGCAGACUUGAGUACUGCAGGGGAGACUGGAAUUCCUGGUGUAGCGGUGGAAUGCGCAGAUAUCAGGAGGAACACCGGUGGCGAAGGCGGGUCUCUGGGCAGUAACUGACGCUGAGGAGCGAAAGCGUGGGGAGCGAACAGGAUUAGAUACCCUGGUAGUCC